rnacentral:rRNA from 1 species
UACGUAGGGCGCAAGCGUUGUCCGGAAUUAUUGGGCGUAAAGAGCUCGUAGGCGGUUUGUCGCGUCUGCUGUGAAAACGCGAGGCUCAACCUCGCGCCUGCAGUGGGUACGGGCAGACUAGAGUGCGGUAGGGGAGAUUGGAAUCCUGGUGUAGCGGUGGAAUGCGCCAGAUAUCAGGAGGAACACCGGUGGCGAAGGCGGGUCUCUGGGCAGUAACUGACGCUGAGGAGCGAAAGCGUGGGGAGCGAACAGG